rnacentral:rRNA from 1 species
CAAUAGCGUAUAUUAAAGUUGUUGCAGUUAAAAAGCUCGUAGUUGAAACUUGGGCCUGGCUGGCGGGUCCGCCUCACCGCGUGCACUCGUCCGGCCGGGCCUUCCUUCUGAAGAACCUCAUGCCCUUCACUGGGCGUGCUGGGGAAUCAGGACUUUUACUUUGAAAAAAUUAGAGUGUUCAAAGCAGGCCUUUGCUCGAAUACGUUAGCAUGGAAUAAUAAAAUAGGACGUGCGGUUCUAUUUUGUUGGUUUUUGGAAUCGCCGUAAUGAUUAAUAGGGACAGUCGGGGGCAUUAGUACUCACAUGCUAGAGGUGAAAUUCUUGGAUUUUGUGAAGACUAACUUCUGCGAAAGCAUUUGACAAGGAUGUUUNCAUUA